rnacentral:misc_RNA from 1 species
UUUUUUUUUUUUUUUUUUUUGCCAGUUUCUCUCCCCUCUUAGAUGUGCAAGGCAAAAGCAAAAUGCUAGGGUUUGGAGGGAAGAGCAGAUUGGAGAGAUGGGGAGAGAAUUUUUUGAGAGAAAACACAUUCCUGCCCCUAGAGAAAGAGAAAGUGUGAGAAAGAGAGAGAAACCAUUCCAUAUACAUUAUAAUUUUAAUAUUGACAUGAGUUGCAUAUAUGAGCAGCCAAAGAAUAAUGCCAAUAAAUAAGCAACAAGGAAGAGCGUUUGCUCAUUGUGUUGAGAGAUCACCAAAAUCAUAUCAAAUUAUAAGGCGGUGAUUACAACCGAAAAAAAACAUGCUUAUGUGGCCAAAACCAAUUAUUCUGGCAAGUUACAGGCAACUUGUAGCCACAACACUUUCUAUGGAAUGCUAUCAAAUCUCAUUGAUUUGGUGACAUCAGACCUUACCACGCAAAUGAUUCCAGUCUGAGUGCAUGUGCAUGUUUGCAAGUGUUUAUAC